rnacentral:rRNA from 1 species
UACGGAGGGGGCAAGCGUUGUUCGGAAUUACUGGGCGUAAAGCGCACGUAGGCGGCUUUGUAAGUUAGAGGUGAAAGCCCGGAGCUCAACUCCGGAAUUGCCUUUAAGACUGCAUCGCUUGAAUCCAGGAGAGGUGAGUGGAAUUCCGAGUGUAGAGGUGAAAUUCGUAGAUAUUCGGAAGAACACCAGUGGCGAAGGCGACUUACUGGACGAUUGUUGACGCUGAGGUGCGAAAGCGUGGGGAGCAAACAGG